rnacentral:rRNA from 1 species
AGCAGCCGCGGUAAUUCCAGCUCCAAUAGCGUAUAUUAAAAGUUGUUGCAGUUAAAAAACUCGUAGUUGAAUUUCGGGAUUCAUACGUUGGUCGGGCUUUUUGGUCUGUACUUAUGUAUGGAUUCCUACCUUCUGAAUAACCGGCAUGCCAUUAAUUUGGUGUUUUGGGGAAUUUGGCUGUUACUUUGAAAAAAUUAGAGUGUUUAAAGCAAGCUAAACGCUUGAAUACAUUAGCAGGAAUAAUGAA